rnacentral:rRNA from 1 species
UACGUAGGUGACCAGCGUUGUCCGGAUUUACUGGGCGUAAAGAGCGCGCAGGCGGUCGUUCAAGUCGAGUGUGAAAGCCCCCGGCUCAACUGGGGAGGGUCACUCGAUACUGAUCGACUUGAAGGCAGGAGAGGGAAGCGGAAUUCCCGGUGUAGUGGUGAAAUGCGCAGAUAUCAGGAGGAACACCAAUGGCGAAGGCAGCUCACUGGGACGGUAUUGACGCUGAGACGCGAAAGCGUGGGGAGCAAACAGG